AUUGAACGCUGGCGGCAUGCUUUACACAUGCAAGUCGAACGGCAGCGCGGGCUUCGGCCUGGCGGCGAGUGGCGAACGGGUGAGUAAUGCAUCGGAACGUGCCCAGUAGUGGGGGAUAGCCCGGCGGAAGCCGGAUUAAUACCGCAUACGACCUGAGGGUGAAAGCGGGGGACCGAAAGGCCUCGCGCUAUUGGAGCGGCCGAUGUCGGAUUAGCUAGUUGGUGGGGUAAAGGCUUACCAAGGCGACGAUCCGUAGCUGGUCUGAGAGGACGACCAGCCACACUGGGACUGAGACACGGCCCAGACUCCUACGGGAGGCAGCAGUGGGGAAUUUUGGACAAUGGGGGCAACCCUGAUCCAGCCAUGCCGCGUGCGGGAAGAAGGCCUUCGGGUUGUAAACCGCUUUUGUUCGGGAAGAAAUCCUCUGGGCUAAUACCCCGGGGGGAUGACGGUACCGGAAGAAUAAGCACCGGCUAACUACGU
rnacentral:rRNA from 1 species